UCCUCAGCUCAAAAAGAAAGGGGGGGGGUUAUUUUAGUUCGGUCUGAGGUCUGUCACAGCAGAGAAGGCAUAGUGGCAGAUGUGUGAGGAGGCUGGUCACACUGAAUCUGCAGUCAGGAAGCAGAGAGAUGAAUGCUGGUGCUCAGCUAGUUUUUUCCACUCUGAGACCCCAGCUCAGGGAAUGGUACCACUUACAUUCAGGGUGGAGCUUCUCUACUCUGUCAGACCUUUCAGGAAACAUACUCAUAGGCAAAUCCAGAGACUGUGUUGCCAUGGUGAUUUGAAAUCCCAACAAGUUGACAAUGAAGAGUAACCAUCACAGGGAGAUGGAAGUACGGGUAUAUGCAACAAAUGCUUCAAACAUAGAUUAUUACCCCAGUAGUCAACCUUGUCACCCAGCAUCAGCUCCCUGGGCAUAUGGUAGGAAUUUAAUAUGUUUAUUGACUGACAUCUCAGACCUGUCUCCUUAUAUUACAGAAAGGGAGAGACAUUGGUGUCUCCUAUUUGGAGUCACAGAAGACUUGAGAGAGGCUGAAGUGGGAUUUACACGGAUUGGAUUUGCAUUGGCUAUAAGGCCUUGAACGUCCACAGAGGCUGUAGAGACUUACCUCAGUAUCAACUUCAGCAAGUUAAACACUGAUGUGCUGAGGACAAUUUCCAUGGGCUUCCUGUGCUCUGCUAGAAGACACUUGGUUUCCUUUCGGCUCUCAUGUUGUCAUGCAGACCUCAUGCCAACAUUGUCUUUUCUCUAUUUCCACAAACACUUUACAGCAGUGGUUCUCAACCUUCUCAAUGCUAUGACCCUUUAAUAUAGUUCCUUAUGUUGUAG